UGAGGAAUAUUGGUCAAUGGGCGGAAGCCUGAACCAGCCAAGUCGCGUGAGGGAAUAAGGCCCUACGGUCGUAAACCUCUUUUGCCGGGGAGCAAGGGCGGGGACGUGUCCCGGCCCGGAGAGUACCCGGAGAAAAAGCAUCGGCUAACUCCGUGCC
rnacentral:rRNA from 1 species